rnacentral:rRNA from 1 species
AUGAACGCUGGCGGCGUGCCUAAUACAUGCAAGUCGAGCGAACAGACGAGGAGCUUGCUCCUCUGACGUUAGCGGCGGACGGGUGAGUAACACGUGGAUAACCUACCUAUAAGACUGGGAUAACUUCGGGAAACCGGAGCUAAUACCGGAUAAUAUAUUGAACCGCAUGGUUCAAUAGUGAAAGACGGUUUUGCUGUCACUUAUAGAUGGAUCCGCGCCGCAUUAGCUAGUUGGUAAGGUAACGGCUUACCAAGGCAACGAUGCGUAGCCGACCUGAGAGGGUGAUCGGCCACACUGGAAUUGAGACACGGUCCAGACUCCUACGGGAGGCAGCAGUAGGGAAUCUUCCGCAAUGGGCGAAAGCCUGACGGAGCAACGCCGCGUGAGUGAUGAAGGUCUUCGGAUCGUAAAACUCUGUUAUUAGGGAAGAACAAAUGUGUAAGUAACUAUGCACGUCUUGACGGUACCUAAGCAGAAAACCACGGCUAACUACGU